CCCGCUGUGUGACUCAUUUCAAAGGGGAACAGCAAAGCUGUGAGGCCGGCCAUGAACCAUUGAACUUUCAUGUGUUGUAACUGCCCACUCAUUUUCUCACGAGAAAAAGCAUUUUACGAAUAGUUACUGAUGUUGGCUGUAAUUUUGACCUGCAGUUCUGCGUUGAACAAGCCCACAGAUACCUCAAGUCAGCGCUGCGCAUUAGCGGACUGUAGAGCGACUACCAAGCGCCACCGAAAUGCUGACUUCUCCUGGCAUUUAUUUGAUCUUUUUUUCCUUCUUGCUCUUUUUAUUGUUAUUCACAAUAAAGGCUACCUUACUGAAA